CCGCGCCGCCCUAUCCAGGGGCGCGGUGCCAGGUGCGGCCGCCGCGAGGAAAAUGGAACCGUGAGCCCGCCCCAGCUGCUGGCGCCCGAGGCGGACCUCUCUUAACGUUUACUGAAACAAUAUCUGAGUGAUGUCAUACCUUUUGGGAAAGUCACACCCGUUUCAUGUAGACUCAGCUACAAAAGAGGAUUAGAGCAUGCAUCUGAAGUAAUCAGGACAUUUGAUGACAAGUCAACAAAUUAAGCAGAGCAGUAUUACAGGGAAGACUUAGAGGUGAACAAAGUAAAACCCAUGUGAAAGCUCAUGUUAAAGGAUUGAUUUAUGGUUCAUAAAAGUGCCAUUCUGAGUUUCCAUUGUUUGGCACUGUGGGAGAAUCCGUCUACAUGGUGGAAUUUUCAGUAGUUGGAAUCCUAAGUCUACAGAGUGUGGUUUAUGUUUAUUAUACCUUUGAUUUUCACCUCAGGAGUAUGGAUAAGCCAUCCGAAAUAAACAAAAAAAUCAGAGGAAGAUUGGGGCUUCUAGGUUUUCAGGAAUAAUUAAGAUGGUGGGACAUCUAUGGAACAUGUCAUUUACUUUUAUUUCUUAGAGACUAGAUGCCUGAGGUCUGUUUGUCAGAAUGUGAAACCUGAGUCCCAGGUAUGCUCUGUGGCCCUACAUGGACAGAUGCCAAAUAUGUGAUUUGAGGGACCCUGGAAAGUGUUUAUGCUUAAAACACCUCACCUCCUGACCUAUGACCUAAUGAUAAUGGAAAUCACUUUGUUUUCUAAGUAAACAGAUAUUGAGUAUUAAAGAUACCUAUUCCAAGGAGGAAUAACAAAGUGCUGCUGUGAUUGAUACUUUAUCUUGAAUUAAAUUAC